rnacentral:rRNA from 1 species
UACGUAGGGUGCGAGCGUUGUCCGGAAUUAUUGGGCGUAAAGGGCUCGUAGGCGGUUUGUCACGUCUGCUGUGAAAUCCCGGGGCUCAACCCCGGGCGUGCAGUGGAUACGGGCUGGCUAGAGGCAGGCAGGGGAGAACGGAAUUCCCGGUGUAGCGGUGAAAUGCGCAGAUAUCGGGAGGAACACCGGUGGCGAAGGCGGUUCUCUGGGCCUGUACUGACGCUGAGGAGCGAAAGCGUGGGGAGCGAACAGG